rnacentral:rRNA from 1 species
AGACUUUGAUCCUGGCUCAGGAUGAACGCUGGCGGCGUGCCUAACACAUGCAAGUCGAGCGAGGAAUUUAUUCCUAGCGGCGGACGGGUGAGUAACGCGUGGGUAAUCUGCCUCAUACACACGGAUAACAUACCGAAAGGUAUGCUAAUACGAGAUAAUAUUAAGAAAUGGCAUCAUUUCUUAAUCAAAGAAUUUCGGUAUGAGAUGAGCCCGCGUCCCAUUAGCUAGUUGGUAAGGUAAAAGCUUACCAAGGCGACGAUGGGUAGCCGACCUGAGAGGGUGAUCGGCCACACUGGAACUGAGACACGGUCCAGACUCCUACGGGAGGCAGCAGUGGGGAAUAUUGCACAAUGGGCGAAAGCCUGAUGCAGCAACGCCGCGUGAGCGAUGAAGGUCUUCGGAUCGUAAAGCUCUGUCCUCAAGGAAGAAUUUUGACGGUACUUGAGGAGGAAGCCCCGGC